GUAGGCUCAAGAUCAUCAUUUUGCUCGAAUUUAACUUCAUAAUCCAAGGAGUUCGAACGAUUUCUUGAAUUCGAUGCAGGAGCAACGUCUUCCCUACGGCUUUAGCGCCUUCAGAUAAGUUUAAUUUCCAUGGCGCCUAGUGGAAUGUUCUAUGUUUUUUAGUUUAGAAUUUCAUUGAAGGUCUGGUUUUAAAUCUUGAAUUGGCUUGGGGAAACUGAAUGAAUUGGGGGGUAGUUACAAAUCUGAAUCUGCUUUUAAGCUGGGAUUACGUGUUCUUCAUAUGAGUGAAUAUGAAUUUAUUACCAUUUUAAGAAAAUACAUCGUCUUAUCUCUGGAGUAAAAUUAGGUUAUAUUGUUGUUUGAGCAAUAAAAUUAAGAAAGCUUUGUUGUAGAUUCAAUCCUUACUCAAAAUGGCACCUACAGGUCACAAGCUUGAAUGCUUCACAAUGUCUGAAGUAGUUGAAAGAUGACAACCUUGGAAUAUCAAACAUCCCGAACAGAAAUGUCAAAAUCGAAAGAGCGAGUGCAGGAAAACGUAGAGGGAAAGAUAUAAUGAAAAUCACACUUUUUAUAAGUUUAUUGUCAUCUGAAGUAUUACACUCUGCUGUACACACGGUUGUUCUUUCUCGGGAACUGCAAAUAAAAGGAAAACUAAAUUGCAGACCACCUAACUGCUCCCCUGAAAAAAAUUG